UACGGGGGGAGCAAGCGUUGUUCGGAUUUACUGGGCGUAAAGGGCGCGUAGGCGGCCAGCACAAGUCAGUUGUGAAAUCUCCGAGCUUAACUCGGAAAGGUCAACUGAUACUGUGCGGCUAGAGUGCAGAAGGGGCAACUGGAAUUCUCGGUGUAGCGGUGAAAUGCGUAGAUAUCGAGAGGAACACCUGCGGCGAAGGCGGGUUGCUGGGCUGACACUGACGCUGAAGUGCGAAAGCGUAGGGGAGCGAACGGGG
rnacentral:rRNA from 1 species